rnacentral:rRNA from 1 species
AGGAUGAACGCUGGCGGUCUGCUUAACACAUGCAAGUCGAACGGAGUACCUCGGUACUUAGUGGCGGACGGGUGAGUAACGCGUGAGAAUCUGCCCUUAGGUCGGGGACAACCAUUGGAAACGAUGGCUAAUACCGGAUAAGCCGAGAGGUAAAAGAUUAAUUGCCUAGGGAAGAGCUCGCGUCUGAUUAGCUAGUUGGUGAGGUAAAGGCUCACCAAGGCAUCGAUCAGUAGCUGGUCUGAGAGGAUGAUCAGCCACACUGGGACUGAGACACGGCCCAGACUCCUACGGGAGGCAGCAGUGGGGAAUUUUCCGCAAUGGGCGAAAGCCUGACGGAGCAAGACCGCGUGAGGGAGGAAAGCUCUUGGGUUGUAAACCUCUUUUCUUGGGGAAGACAAAUGACGGUACCCAAGGAAUCAGCAUCGGCUAACUCCGUGCCAGCAGCCGC